rnacentral:lncRNA from 1 species
CCCUUUUUAAGAAACUCCCUUGAUUCCUGCAAUUUCUGAACCACAACUUUCCUCAGUUGACCAGCCUUGCCUAUCUUGGCUAGUCUCCCCAGCCUAGGACAGUUGAUGCCAAGGAUGAGACCUUUAUGGAGUCUACGUUCCAAACCCUUUACCUAUUUUUUUUUCCUCUAAUAUCCAUAAGAACCCUGUGAAACAGUAUUGAGGGAAUCAGUUAUUUUCCCUUCUCAUAUUUUCAUGGAGGUGGGGGAUGGCUUCCUACUUUAUUCCCUAGCAGGGCCAAGUAUGGAGGAACCCAUUCCCCCUUCCAUCUACCUGUCCCUCACUCUUCCCCAGGGCAGGAGGAGGACUUACCUGAUCCAACAGACCAGUGGCUUUCUGAGAAGACUACGUUGGACCAUCCUGCCCCCAGAGAAGGUCCCCCUUCCAUCUUUGCCCAUCUUGGCAUUUUGAGAAAAGGAGCUUUAGAGAACGCAAGAAGGAAGAGUGACCGGAGACAAGAGUGCCACCCUGUGGCAAGAGCCUGGCAUUACCAUGCAGAGCCCAGCUGGUUAAAGGUUUGGUCUUGGAUGCUGAUUUGCACAUUUAAAAAAUCAAAACAGAAGCCCAGAUUCAAGAAAACUUGCAAAAUGCUUUCAUGUUGUUCUCCACGGCUGACAUGUAAGUGAAAAGAAUGCUUUCAUUCCCCCUCCCCCUCAACAAACACCUUUGGUUUUUUUGCUCGAUGGCUUGGAACAGGAUUCUGUUUCAAGACUAUUAAAGGCAGCUUCUAAAUGCAGACCAGUGAAGCAGGCCAAGGGGAAGAUGUACAUGGAGUGUUAAGUGGGACAAGUCUUAAUCAAGCAGUUAUGGGUCUCUGAAGAAACUUGGCCAGAUCUGCAAACUCUGAUUCUAGCGCCAGGCUCUAAAAAU